GGGGGCGUAGCUCAGUGGUAGAGCAUCUGGCUUUUAACCAGAGUGUCGUGGGUCCGAUUCCCACCGCCCUCA
rnacentral:tRNA from 1 species